rnacentral:rRNA from 1 species
GUCGAGGGGCAGCGGGGGUAGCAAUACCCGCCGGCGACCGGCGCACGGGUGAGUAACGCGUAUGCAACUUACCUAUCAGAGGGGGAUAACCCGGCGAAAGUCGGACUAAUACCGCAUGAAGCAGGGGCCCCGCAUGGGGAUAUUUGCUAAAGAUUCAUCGCUGAUAGAUAGGCAUGCGUUCCAUUAGGCAGUUGGCGGGGUAACGGCCCACCAAACCGACGAUGGAUAGGGGUUCUGAGAGGAAGGUCCCCCACAUUGGUACUGAGACACGGACCAAACUCCUACGGGAGGCAGCAGUGAGGAAUAUUGGUCAAUGGGCGUAAGCCUGAACCAGCCAAGCCGCGUGAGGGAUGAAGGUUCUAUGGAUCGUAAACCUCUUUUAUGAGGGAAUAAAGUGCGGGACGUGUCCCGUUUUGUAUGUACCUUAUGAAUAAGGAUCGGCUAACUCCGUGCCAGCAGCCGCGGUAAUACGGAGGAUCCGAGCGUUAUCCGGAUUUAUUGGGUUUAAAGGGUGCGUAGGCGGCCUUUUAAGUCAGCGGUGAAAGUCUGUGGCUCAACCAUAGAAUUGCCGUUGAAACUGGGAGGCUUGAGUAUGUUUGAGGCAGGCGGAAUGCGUGGUGUAGCGGUGAAAUGCUUAGAUAUCACGCAGAACCCCGAUUGCGAAGGCAGCCUGCCAAGCCAUGACUGACGCUGAUGCACGAAAGCGUGGGGAUCAAACAGGAUUAGAUACCCUGGUAGUCCACGCAGUANACGAUGAUCACUAGCUGUUUGCGAUNCACUGUAAGCGGCACAGCGAAAGCG